UAGGGAGCCAUUCAUGACUAAACCCAAAUCAACUCCUAAGAGAGAAGUGAGAAGUGAAUCCAACAAAUAUUUAACAAAUGAUAAUCAUUUGUGACAGUGACUGUAAACAAUGGGGAGUAAUUAGAUUUGCUGUAAAGUGGCUCCCAGGAUGUUUCAGUUUCUAGAAGUUUUUUUUAUUUUUUAUUUUUUAUUUUUAGAUCUCUACUCAACAGUUUUGCCUGGGUAACAUGCCCAAGAGAAUUCUGCUCUGGGUUCGUCAGUCUGAAUUUGAGUCUGUUUUAAAAGGUGAUUCAACAACUUGGGUUUUCAAUAGCCAACUCAUGGCACUGGAUAACUCUUGGAUUGUUUAGAGAGAUUAGGGGGCCAGACCACAGCUGCAGCACUGUCCAUUUUUAAUAGAAAAAACAACCCCCUUCCAUGUGUGUACCCCUUCCUGACCUCCAGCCAGCCACCCCCUCCCUACUUCCCUGCUAGGAAGUUUUCUGAGCUAAACUGGUCAAAAGUGACUCCACAGUGUAAAGCAAGGUCCUGGCAGCAAGAUGCUAGUAAAGGAAGCCUCUUGUGAACAUUGAUUGGAAUUACAAUUACCUGCUGCUUCCAUGUUUGUUUAGGACUAAAGAGACACGGGAGUUGACAGGCUGUGGAGGAGGAGCUCAGGGGACAACAGGGCCAGGGCUCCAGUGUGGGUUUCACUGAUCUCACCCCAGUGGUCCAGGAUGUUCUUGCUGUUGCCACUCAUCCCAUUGCUUUUGCUUUUCCUCUGUUCCGCAGGUCUCAUUUUCUACCCUCACCUAGUUAAGUCAGGGUGGAGGUAAAAUUUGCCAUAUAGAAACAGCUGUUGAAAAAGAGCCUCCUCAAGUAAGCGAAAUGAGCAAAAGGUCUUUUCUUUUGCUUCCCGAAAGAGGACAUGAUGAUAAGGACGUGGAGACAAAGAUGCUAUGAAUAGGCGAGAUCCUCCAGGCUGGGGAAAAAGCUGGACCAAUAGCUAUUUCGAAUGUUGCAUAAAUCCAACGAUAAUAAUUUUUGCUCAUCUGCCAUGUGAUCUGUCUUUUGUGCUCUGUUGAAAGACAUCAGAUGAUGAAGUGGACCCUGGCAAGGGCAGCCUGCCCUUUUUAAAGGCAAGUUUAAAGGUAGGUUUAAAGGCAGACCUUUAAACCUGGGAAAAGCUAAUGAAGAUGCAGUAAACCUGAGACAUACUAAACGAAUAUGUAAAUAUGUAAAUGUGUAUGUCUAAGUAGGUAUAGUUUUUUUUUUUUUUCAGUUUUUGUGUUCUUUGGUGGCAUUAUUUUUGGAAUAAGACAAACCUAGGUUUGAACCAUGACUCCACCAUAUAUUUGCCCUCUUAAACAUGAGCAAGUUAGAGCUAAUCUUUUUAAGCUUUCAUUUUCUCAACUCUAAAAAUACCUCUCUUUUUCAUCACUAAUAUACUUAUAAGUACACACAUACACACACCCUACAUUUGUAUUUAAACUAAUUAGAAACAUACAUAUAAUUUCUUCCUUUGUCAUGGUAAUAUAUAUUGGUCUAGACAGUCAAUGUCUCAAAAAUACAGUAAGCCUGAGAUAAAUAAUUUGACACUCUCUAGAUUAAUUUAGCACGUUACUUA
rnacentral:lncRNA from 1 species